GAUGAACGCUGGCGGCGUGCUUAACACAUGCAAGUCGAGCGAAGCACUUUUGCGGAUUUCUUCGGAUUGAAGCAACUGUGACUGAGCGGCGACGGGUGAAGGUACGCGUAGGUUAACCUGCCUCAUACAGGGGGAUAACAGUUGGAAACGGCUGCUAAUACCGCAUAAGCGCACAGUACCGCAUGGUACCGUGUGAAAAACUCCGGUGGUAUGAGAUGGACCCGCGUCUGAUUAGCUAGUUGGUGGGGUAACGGCCUACCAAGGCGACGAUCAGUAGCCGACCUGAGAGGGUGACCGGCCACAUUGGGACUGAGACACGGCCCAA
rnacentral:rRNA from 1 species